GUGUCCUUAAGGGGUUAAACCUGCUUUUUUUUCACUUGGUAUUAACUAAUACCAACCACAGUCCAUCAGUUCUCCAACAAACUCCUGUUGUUUUAACUCCUUCUUAAAAGAGACUACUUUAAAUAGCCUACUUUCAAGCAAACUCCAGUGAGCAAGCUCUGUGAGUCAGGCAACAGAGGGUUGUAGUCAAUGGAGUAUAUUCAAAGCAAGGUCUAGUUACCAGUGGGGAUCUGUACUUGGACUCAUUCUCUCGAAUAUUUUUAUUAGUGAUAUUGUAGAAGGUCUUGAUGGUAAGGUAUGUCUUUUUGCUAAUGAUACUAAAAUUUGCAACAGGGUUGAUUUUCCAGGAGGGAUAAGCCAAACGGCAAAUGAUUUAGGUAAACUAGAAAAAUGGUCAGAGCUGUGGCAACUGACAUUUAAUGUGGAUAAGUGCAAGAUAAUGCAUCUUGGAUGUAAAAACCCAAGGGCAGUAUAGAUUAUUUGCUACCUUACUAACCUCAACAUCUGAGGAAAGGGAUUUAGGAAUAAUUAUUUCAGAUGAUUUAAAGUUAGGCAGACAAUAUAAUAGAGCAGCAGGAAAUGUUAGCAGAAUACUUAGUUGUAUAGGGAGAGGUAUUCGCAGUAGAAAGAGAGACCUCAAUUGGAGUAUUGUACACAGUACUGGAGACCGUAUUUUCAGAAGAUACUUCGGAAAGAGUUCAGAGAAGGGCUACUAAACUAGUACAUGG